GAUGAACGCUGGCGGCGUGCCUAAUACAUGCAAGUCGAGCGAACAGACGAGGAGCUUGCUCCUCUGACGUUAGCGGCGGACGGGUGAGUAACACGUGGAUAACCUACCUAUAAGACUGGGAUAACUUCGGGAAACCGGCGCUAAUACCGGAUAAUAUAUUGCACCGCAUGGUUCAAUAGUGAAAGACGGUUUUGCUUUCACUUAUAGAUUGAUCCGCGCCGCAUUAGCUAGUUGUUAAGGUAACGGCUUACCAAGGCAACGAUGCGUAGCCGACCUGAGAGGGUGAUCGGCCACACUGGAACUGAGACAAGGUCCAGACUCCUACGGGAGGCAGCAGUAGGGAAUCUUACGCAAUGGGCGAAAGCUUGACGGAGCAAAGCCGCGUGAGGGAUGAAGGUCUUCGGAUCGUAAAACUCUGUUAUUAGGGAAGAACAAAUGUGUAAGUAACUAGGCACGUCUUGACGGUACCUAAUCAGAAAGCCACGGCUAACUACGUG
rnacentral:rRNA from 1 species